UUGGAGGGCAAGUCUGGUGCCAGCAGCCGCGGUAAUUCCAGCUCCAAUAGCGUAUAUUAAAGUUGCUGCAGUUAAAAAGCUCGUAGUUGAAUUUCGGGACCAUCAUGUCGGUCGUGCCUCGGUACGUACUGGCAUUGUUGGUUUCUCCCUUCUGACGAACCAUGAUGUCAUUUAUUUGGUGUUGUGGGGAAUCAGGACUGUUACUUUGAAAAAAUUAGAGUGUUUAAAGCAGGCUCACGCUUGAAUACAUUAGCAUGGAAUAAUGAAAUAGGACGUUUGAUUCUGUUUUGUUGGUUUCUAGGAUCGACGUAAUGAUUAAUAGGGAUAGUUGGGGGCAUUAGUAUUCAAUUGUCAGAGGUGAAAUUCUUGGAUUUAUUGAAGACUAACUACCGCGAAAGCAUUUGCCAAGGAUGUUUUCAUUAAUCAAGAACGAAAGUUAGGGGAUCGAAGACGAUCAGAUACCGUCGUAGUCUUAACCAUAAACUAUGCCGACUAGGGAUCGGAUGAUGUUAAUUUUUUAAUGACUCAUUCGGCGCCUUACGGGAAACCAAAGUGUUUGGGUUC
rnacentral:rRNA from 1 species